rnacentral:rRNA from 1 species
UGGGGAAUAUUGCGCAAUGGGGGAAACCCUGACGCAGCCAUGCCGCGUGAGUGAAGAAGGUCUUCGGAUCGUAAAGCUCUUUCAACGGUGAAGAUGAUGACGGUAGCCGUAGAAGAAGCCCCGGCUAACUUCGUGCCAGCAGCCGCGGUAAUACGGAGGGGGUUAGCGUUGUUCGGAAUUACUGGGCGUAAAGCGCACGUAGGCGGACCAGAAAGUUGGGGGUGAAAUCCCGGGGGCUCAACCCCGGAACUGCCUCCAAAACUAUUGGUCUAGAGUUCGAGAGAGGUGAGUGGAAUUCCAAGUGUAGAGGUGAAAUUCGUAGAUAUUUGGAGGAACACCAGUGGCGAAGGCGGCUCACUGGCUCGAUACUGACGCUGAGGUGCGAAAGUGUGGGGAGCAAACAGGAUUAG